rnacentral:rRNA from 1 species
UACGUAGGGCGCAAGCGUUGUCCGGAUUUAUUGGGUUUAAAAGGGUGCGUCGGCGGAUUAGUAAGUCAGUGGUGAAAGCCCAUCGCUUAACGGUGGAACUGCCAUUGAUACUGCUAGUCUUGAGUAUGGUUGAGGUGGGCGGAAUGUGUCAUGUAGCGGUGAAAUGCUUAGAUAUGACACAGAACACCAAUUGCGAAGGCAGCUCGCUAAGCCAUAACUGACGCUGAUGCACGAAAGCGUGGGGAGCAAACAGG